UACGAAGGGGGCUAGCGUUGCUCGGAAUCACUGGGCGUAAAGGGUGCGUAGGCGGGUCUUUAAGUCAGGGGUGAAAUCCUGGAGCUCAACUCCAGAACUGCCUUUGAUACUGAAAGAUCUUGAGUUCGGGAGAGGUGAGUGGAACUGCGAGUGUAGAGGUGAAAUUCGUAGAUAUUCGCCAAGAACACCAGUGGCGAAGGCGGCUCA
rnacentral:rRNA from 1 species